CCUACGGGGGGCAGCAGUGGGGAAUAUUGGACAAUGGGGGGAACCCUGAUCCAGCCAUGCCGCGUGUGUGAAGAAGGCCCUCGGGUUGUAAAGCACUUUCAGUGAGGAAGAACGCCUGGUGGUUAAUACCCAUCAGGAAAGACAUCACUCACAGAAGAAGCACCGGCUAACUCCGUGCCAGCAGCCGCGGUAAUACGGAGGGUGCGAGCGUUAAUCGGAAUUACUGGGCGUAAAGCGCGCGUAGGUGGCUUGAUAAGCCGGUUGUGAAAGCCCCGGGCUCAACCUGGGAACGGCAUCCGGAACUGUCAAGCUAGAGUGCAGGAGAGGAAGGUAGAAUUCCCGGUGUAGCGGUGAAAUGCGUAGAGAUCGGGAGGAAUACCAGUGGCGAAGGAGGCCUUCUGGACUGACACUGACACUGAGGUGCGAAAGCGUGGGUAGCAAACAGGAUUAGAUACCCGUGUAGUC
rnacentral:rRNA from 1 species